AACGUAGGUCGCAAGCGUUAUCCGUGGUUACUGGGCGUAAAGGGCGUGUAGGCGGCGCUGCAAGUUCGUCGUGAAAGACCCCGGCUCAACCGGGGGAGGUCGAGGGAGACUGCGGCGCUGGAGGACGGUAGAGGGACAGGGAAUUCCGGGUGUAGUGGUGAAAUGCGUAGAGAUCCGGAGGAACACCAGUGGCGAAGGCGCUGUCCUGGGCCGCACCUGACGCUGAGACGCGACAGCAUGGGGAGCGAACGGG
rnacentral:rRNA from 1 species